rnacentral:rRNA from 1 species
UACGUAGGGUGCGAGCGUUGUCCGGAAUUAUUGGGCGUAAAGAGCUUGUAGGCGGUUUGUCGCGUCUGCCGUGAAAAUCCGGGGCUCAACCCCGGACUUGCGGUGGGUACGGGCAGACUAGAGGUAUGCAGGGGAGAACGGAAUUCCUGGUGUAGCGGUGAAAUGCGCAGAUAUCUGGAGGAACACCGGUGGCGAAGGCGACAUCCUGGACCAACACUGACGCUGAGGAGCGAAAGCCAGGGGAGCAAACGGG